UCCUGAUUAACUCAGGCAGUCUCAUUAGACAUAGUAACUAAUGACGUGGGUUGCGCUCGUUAACGGACUUAACCGAACACCUCAAGGCACGAGCUGACGACAACCAUGCAGCGCCUGUCUCUACAUUCCCUUGCGGGCACUCCGACGUUUCCGCCAGAUUCGUAGGAUGUCAAGCCUGGGUAAGGUUCCCCGUUUAUUGUCGAAUUAAACCACAUGAUCCACUGCUUGUGUGGGUCCCCGUCUAUUCAUUUGAGUUUUAACCUUGCGGCCGUACUUCUCAGGUGGGGCACUUAAUGCGUUAGCUUGAAGCACUGGGAACAAGUCCCAACACUCAGUGCCCAUCGUUUAGGGCGUGGACUA
rnacentral:misc_RNA from 1 species